AAUGAACGCUGGCGGCGUGCCUAACACAUGCAAGUCGUACGAGAAAUCCCGAGCUUGCUUGGGAGAGUAAAGUGGCGCACGGGUGAGUAACGCGUGGGUAACCCACCUUCGAAUCUGGGAUAACUCCGCGAAAGCGGUGCUAAUACCGGAUAAGACCACAUUCCGUUCGCGGAAAGAGGUAAAAGCUGACCUCUCCAUGGAAGUUAGCGUUCGAGGACGGGCCCGCGUCCUAUCAGCUUGUUGGUGGGGUAAUGGCCUACCAAGGCUGCGACGGGUAGCUGGUCUGAGAGGAUGAUCAGCCACACUGGAACUGGAACACGGUCCAGACUCCUACGGGAGGCAGCAGUGAGGAAUUUUGCGCAAUGGGGGAAACCCUGACGCAGCAACGCCGCGUGGGUGAAGAAGGCUUUCGGGUCGUAAAGCCCUGUCAGGUGGGAAGAAACUCUUCAGCACUAAUAAUGCUGAAGUCUGACGGUACCACCAGAGGAAGCACCGGCCAACUCCGUG
rnacentral:rRNA from 1 species